rnacentral:rRNA from 1 species
UUUAGAGUUUGAUCCCUGGCUCAGAACGAACGCUGGCGGCGCGUCUUAAACAUGCAAGUCGGACGGGAUCUUCGGUGCUUGCACCGAAGUGAGAGUGGCGAACGGGUGAGUAACGCGUGGGUGAUCUGCCUUUUGGAUUGGGACAACUUCGGGAAACCGGAGCUAAUACCGAAUGUGAUUGCAUUUUUAAAUGUAUGUAAUUAAAGAUGGGGAUCUUCUAGACCUAUCACCAAAAGAUGAGCCUGCGUCCCAUUAGCUUGUUGGUAUGGUAAUGGCUUACCAAGGCGACGAUGGGUAGCCGGCCUGAGAGGGUGAACGGCCACAUUGGGACUGAGAUACGGCCCAGACUCCUACGGGAGGCAGCAGUUAAGAAUCUUGGACAAUGGACGCAAGUCUGAUCCAGCGACGCCGCGUGAAUGAUGAAUGUCUUCGGAUUGUAAAGUUCACUAAGCAGAGACGAAUAAGCAAGAGGUAAUAUUUCUUGUGAUGACGGAUCUGCCUAAAGCUCGCA